UCCCUAUACAUUGUCCCUCAAAAUUGAUAUUUGAGACCGCUUCUCGCAAAGCUACGUUUACAAGCUUGUGACAGAGAAACCCUACCCUACCUGAAUUUACCGUAGAACGGCCAUUAGAAGCGAUUGCUGAAAAAGAGAAAGGCGGAGGCGGCGGCAACCAAGAUGUCGUCGACGCUUUUGGAGGUGACUCGCGCAGCUCAUGAGGAAGUGGAACGGCUCGAGCGGAUCAUAGUGAAGGAUCUCCAGAAUGAGCCCGCGACGAACAAGGACCGGCUCUUUCAGAGCCACCGAGUUCGUAACAUGAUCGAAACCAUCAUGUCUACUACGCACAAACUCGUGGAGAUUUAUGAAGAUAAGGAUAGUGCAAGGAAGGACGAGAUUGCAGCUCUUGGGGGCCAAACAGCAACAGGGACAAACGUGUUUAGUGCGUUUUAUGAUAGGCUGAAAGAGAUUCGUGAGUACCAUAGAAGGCAUCCAGCAGCACGCGUUGUUGAUGCCAACGAGGAGCAUGAGGCACUGCUUAAAGAGGAACCCGUAAUUGAGUUCACUGGGGAGGAAGCAUUUGGGAAAUAUUUGGACAUGCAUGAGUUGUACAACCAGUUUAUUAAUUCAAAAUUCGGGGAGCCUAUUGAAUACUCUGCUUACCUUGAUGUUUUUUCACAACCACAUAGUAUCCCUCGAAAACUGAAGUUAACAAGGCAAUAUAGGGAAUAUAUGGAGAAUCUACUCGAGCAUUUAAUUUACUUUUUU
rnacentral:misc_RNA from 1 species